rnacentral:rRNA from 1 species
GAUGAACGCUAGCGGGAGGCCUAACACAUGCAAGCCGAGCGGUAUUGUUUCUUCGGAAAUGAGAGAGCGGCGUACGGGUGCGGAACACGUGUGCAACCUGCCUUUAUCUGGGGGAUAGCCUUUCGAAAGGAAGAUUAAUACCCCAUAACAUAUUGAACGGCAUCGUUUGAUAUUGAAAGCUCCGGCGGAUAGAGAUGGGCACGCGCAAGAUUAGCUAGUUGGUGAGGUAACGGCUCACCAAGGCGAUGAUCUUUAGGGGGCCUGAGAGGGUGAUCCCCCACACUGGUACUGAGACACGGACCAGACUCCUACGGGAGGCAGCAGUGAGGAAUAUUGGUCAAUGGGUGCAAGCCUGAACCAGCCAUCCCGCGUGAAGGACGACUGCCCUAUGGGUUGUAAACUUCUUUUGUAUAGGGAUAAACCUACUCUCGUGAGGGUAGCUGAAGGUACUAUACGAAUAAGCACCGGCUAACUCCGUGCCAGCCGCCGCCGUAAAAC